rnacentral:rRNA from 1 species
UGGGGAAUAUUGGACAAUGGGCGAAAGCCUGAUCCAGCCAUGCCGCGUGUGUGAAGAAGGUCUUCGGAUUGUAAAGCACUUUAAGUUGGGAGGAAGGGCAGUAAGCGAAUACCUUGCUGUCUUGACGUUACCGACAGAAUAAGCACCGGCUAACUCUGUGCCAGCAGCCGCGGUAAUACAGAGGGUGCAAGCGUUAAUCGGAAUUACUGGGCGUAAAGCGCGCGUAGGUGGUUCGUUAAGUUGAAUGUGAAAGCCCCGGGCUCAACCUGGGAACUGCAUGCAAAACUGGCGGGCUAGAGUAGGGCAGAGGGUGGUGGAAUUUCCUGUGUAGCGGUGAAAUGCGUAGAUAUAGGAAGGAACACCAGUGGCGAAGGCGACCACCUGGGCUCAUACUGACACUGAGGUGCGAAAGCGUGGGGAGCAAACAGG